UCCGGUUUGUCACCGGCAGUCUCCCUAGAGUUCCCAACUGAAUGUAGCAACUAAUGACAAGGGUUGCGCUCGUUGCGGGACUUAACCCAACAUCUCACGACACGAGCUGACGACAGCCAUGCAGCACCUGUGUUCCCGUUCCCUUUCGGGCACACCCAGCUCUCACCGGGCUUCGGGACAUGUCAAGUGUAGGUAAGGUUUUUCGCGUUGCAUCGAAUUAAUCCACAUAAUCCACCGCUUGUGCGGGUCCCCGUCAAUUCCUUUGAGUUUUAACCUUGCGGCCGUACUCCCCAGGCGGUCGACUUCACGCGUUAGCUUCGUUACUGAGAGUGUCAAACCCCCAACAACCAGUCGACAUCAUUUACGGCGUGGACUAC
rnacentral:misc_RNA from 1 species